UGGCACCGUGCCGCACUUGCUAAAGCGAAGCGCGGUGAUAUAUGACAUUGACAAAGAAGAAAUACUCUUAUUUUGCCUUCUUCUGGCAGAGAUUAAGCCUUUCUUCGUUUUAAUCAUACAGAAUGAAAUUGAACGCCGCGCCGAGCGCUCGUUUGUGCCAGUCCGUAACAACGCACCAACGUAAGGUAGUGCCGGAGAGAGACAGUCGCUGGCGCAUAAAGUUCUGCCAGGACGGCCCAAUAAGGGACUGUGAAAACCGACGACAGACGCAGAAAUAUCAUGAUUUCAACGGCGCUUGUAGUCUUGUCAAUGACUACCGGCACGUUCGCCAGCUACAUCGGCGCUGGCUUCGGUCUCGGCUACGGUGUUAGCCACUUCGGCGUGUCUAGAGGCAUUGGAUACUCUACCGUGACUGGAUUUGCCCACAGUGUUGGCUACGCUCCGGCGCAGGGCUAUUCUCUCGUUCCCGCAGGCGCAGCACAUGUUCCUUCCCUACCAUUGGUGACAGCACACGCAGUUCCAGCUGUGUCGCCUGUAGUAGCUCCCGGAGGCGUGACAACAGUGGCUGCGACUUACCAUGCCCCAGCAACGAUUACCACACUUGCUACAGUACCAGUGACGCUGACGAAGGUGACAACCACGUAUCACACUCCAGUCGAGAGUACAAAUGUGCAGCUAUCUCCCGUCUAUGGGCACAACGUUGGCGGCCUCGGAUACGGCACCGGAAACUACGGCUUCGGAUACGGCCUAGGAUCAUACGGCCUCAACUACGGCUAUGGUCUCGGUACACCUGUGCAAUAUCUGAUCCUCCUUCGCCGUCGGAAGUAAAUAACGGACGAUAUGAAAAGCGACAGAGGCUUGUCUGCGCCGAAAAUAUUACUUUACAAACCAUACAACCGUAUUAUCCGUGGAGAAGUGACCUUUGCAAGCGCA